UACAGAUGUGGCAAGCGUUGUUCGGAAUUACUGGGCGUAAAGGGCGCGUAGGCGGUUCGUUAAGUCCUGUGUGAAAUCCCCCGGCUCAACUGGGGAACUGCACAGGAAACUAGCGGGCUUGAGUUCGGGAGAGGGAAGCGGAAUUCCGGGUGUAGCGGUGAAAUGCGUAGAUAUCCGGAGGAACACCGGUGGCGAAGGCGGCUUCCUGGACCGACACUGACGCUGAGGCGCGAAAGCUAGGGGAGCAAACGGG
rnacentral:rRNA from 1 species